rnacentral:rRNA from 1 species
CCGUCUUGAAACACGGACCAAGGAGUUUAUCGUGUGCGCAAGUCAUUGGGUGUUGAAAACUCAAAGGCGCAAUGAAAGUAAAGAAUCCGCAAGGAUACGACGUGUGAUCUGAGCAAUCACGAUUGCCUGGAGCAACAUGGCCCCAUUCUGGUCGCUUGCGACGGGGUGGAGGAAGAGCGUACGCGGUGAGACCCGAAAGAUGGUGAACUAUUCCUGAGCAGGAUGAAGCCAGAGGAAACUCUGGUGGAAGUCCGAAGCGAUUCUGACGUGCAAAUCGAUCGUCUGACUUGGGUAUAGGGGCGAAAGACUAAUCGAACCAUCUAGUAGCUGGUUCCUUCC